GAUUGGACACCUAAACUUUUGACAAAAAAUCCACAAUGAUUCAAAAUCUUUAGGCCUUCUUUUAAGAAUAAAAAUGGCAAGAAUUCCAAAAGAAAGCCUGUCAUAAAGGUCACGUCAUAUACAGGGGAGGACAAAAGAGAUUUGGGAGGAGCCACUGAAGAAACAAAGGA